rnacentral:rRNA from 1 species
GAUUGAACGCUGGCGGCAUGCCUUACACAUGCAAGUCGAACGGCAGCACGGGGGCAACCCUGGUGGCGAGUGGCGAACGGGUGAGUAACAUAUCGGAACGUGCCCUGGAGUGGGGGAUAACUAGUCGAAAGAUUAGCUAAUACCGCAUACGAUCUACGGAUGAAAGUGGGGGAUCGCAAGACCUCAUGCUCGUGGAGCGGCCGAUAUCUGAUUAGCUAGUUGGUGGGGUAAAGGCCUACCAAGGCAUCGAUCAGUAGCUGGUCUGAGAGGACGACCAGCCACACUGGGACUGAGACACGGCCCAGACUCCUACGGGAGGCAGCAGUGGGAAUUUUGGACAAGUGGGCGCAAGCCUGAUCCAGCAAUGCCGCGUGAGUGAAGAAGG